GGGUUGUGAGAUUAAGCGACUAAGCGUACACGGUGGAUGCCCUGGCAGUCAGAGGAGAUGAAGGACGUGCUAAUC
rnacentral:rRNA from 1 species